UACGUAGGGGGCGAGCGUUGUCCGGAAUCAUUGGGCGUAAAGAGCUCGUAGGCGGUUCAGUAAGUCGGCUGUGAAAUUCCGAGGCUCAACCUCGGAACUGCAGUCGAUACUAUUGUGACUAGAGUCCGGUAGAGGAGAAUGGAAUUCCCGGUGUAGCGGUGAAAUGCGCAGAUAUCGGGAGGAACACCAGUAGCGAAGGCGGCGUUCUGGACUGCAACUGACACUGAGGAACGAAAGCCAGGGUAGCAAACGGG
rnacentral:rRNA from 1 species